GGAGAUUCAGGGAAGUUAAGUGACUGGCUCGAGAAUUGCUCAGCUAAUGACGGGCGGAGCAGGAAUCCACCCUCGCCUCCUGGUUCUUUCCGUUGGGCUGUGCCCUUGCUUCGUUGAUCAUCCCUUGGAAAGCAGUUCUGAAGAUUUUCCAUCUUGAUAAUGAAAUGGGACUUUUUGAAAGCUGUCGGCUGAGGAGGAAGAAGGGAGAGAGUGAGGAAGUUGUGCCCAUAGAAGUUGCUCCUAAUUUUGCCCCUGUCAGCAAAGGGGGCAAUGAAUUGUUUCUUGCUGCUGAAGCUUUGGAACCUUCUUGUGUAUUACAGCGACAAUUGUGGCUACGCCUUCCCAGGGAAGUGGAGCACCCAGGAGAGGGGCACCCUUUCCUGCUAUUUGCCUUCACCCCCACCAGCCUCCCCGGGGCCUUGAAAGGCCCUGGCUUGCCUGCAGCCCCAGGGCUCAUCUCACAGAGGUGCUUCAAAGCUCCCAUCUUGGCCUCAGGCUGUGUCUGGCUUCCCCUGAGAGGCCCAGGAGCUGGGCUUCCAGAUGCGCCUGCUGCAUUGAACGGUCCCCACUGGGGAGCUUUGGUGGGCUAAGUAGGAAGCCCCCACCCCUGCAGGCUGCACAGAGGCCCAGAUGCCGUGGGGGAAAACUUCCUGGUGCCUGCCACCAGCCUUGGAGACUUCUGAGGUCCUCUGUGCUGACCCAUAGGUGGGCUGCCCAUGGGGUAAGGGGCCCCAUGGAGCUCUGAGACCCGGAUUAGCAUUUUAAAGAAAGGUCAGCAAGAAAGAAUUUCUGAGACCUGCUGGGAGCAGAAGGGAUGUUGGUGAGGAAAGUUCACCCCCCCCCCAAGUUUUCAACAGGCCCAUCUGCUGACCAGGUGGCAUUUGAGGGGGCAGAGAAGGCACCAGAUAAGGAAUGGGAGAGUUGGAUUUGAACUUCAGCUUAGCCAUUGGUGAGCAAAGAAUUUGGGCAGGUUAUUUCAUACCUCCAAGCCUUACUGUCCUCCCUUCUCAAAAGUAAAAGCCAGACAGAAAGACCUCA